UACGGAGGGUGCGAGCGUUGUCCGGAAUCACUGGGCGUAAAGGGCGCGUAGGCGGCUCAUGAAGGCUGUGGUGAAAGUCCGGGGCUCAACCUCGGAUCGGCCGUGGCGACUCGUGGGCUGGAGCACUGUAGAGGCGGGUGGAAUUCCGGGUGUAGCGGUGGAAUGCGUAGAGAUCCGGAAGAACACCAGUGGCGAAGGCGGCCCGCUGGGCAGUGGCUGACGCUGAAGCGCGACAGCGUGGGGAGCAACAGG
rnacentral:rRNA from 1 species